CCGAUUUCUGAUUUCGAUCUUGUUGCUUAUACACUUGCUGGUUUGCUUGAUAAUUAUGAAUCUUUUGUUGAUUCAAUUAUGACAAGAAUUGAAUCUAUUAAUAUUGAUGAACUUUAUGGCCUUCUUCUGAGCAAAGAAA